UCCAAUUCUUGCAGAGGACCUGAAUUCAGUUUCCAACACCCAUGUAGCAAAUGCCUAUACCUCCAGCUCCAGGGGACCUGAUGACAUCUUUUGGACUCUAUAGGAAUCUGUACUCAUAUACAGAUAUAUACACAUAAUUAAAAAAAUUUAAAAAGCACUUAAGAGGCAAGAUGUGUAGCUGAGAGAAAUAACAAAACCCCAGUUUCCCAUAUUUUUUGUUGAGGUGCUGGACGGGCAAACCCACCGAGAAAGUGAGAAAACAUGCGGCGAACAGCCACACUGGAACCGUGCCGGAACACGAAGCUCGGCUUCCCUUUUCUGCUGACCAGGAAGCUGUUUUCCACUGGGAAACGGACAUUGCGCGACUCGCUUUGAUUUUCGCUGAGAGCCUCGCUAAAACGCCACGCUUUAGGGAUGGCCAAAAAUAGGUGUUGGGGCAGUAAUUGUAUCUCUCAGACACACGGAGUGAGCUGCUGAGAGAGCUGAUUGCACUGACAGCAGGAAGAAGCUGCUUCUCAAAGGCUCGUGAGUGAUGUGCAAUGUGGAGAGCCAUCUCCCUGCAGCAUUUAUGAACGUCCUCAGCUCUUGAGUUUGACCCUCACACAGCAAACAGACCUUCCUUGUCAGUGGAUUACCAGCGUAUAAUUUUUGCCUAAGCUGGAAAAGCACAGAAAUCAGAAGGAAUCAUCUCUACUCUGAGACUAAAACAUGUGUAAACAUUAUCUCGUCCUACCUUUCCUGGAUGAUGAUAACUCAUGGCUGAGGCCACCGGACAGCCUCUUUCUCCCGAGAAUCAGCAUUCUCACUGCAGUGAAGCAGGGGUCACCAGCAGCAUCUGGGUCUGGCUCACUGGUGUUAUUCUUUUCCACCAUCAAUAUUGAUUGUUCUUAUAGCAUGAAUCAAGACCAGACAUUACAAAGGAAAUCAUCGCUUCAGAAAAGCCGACAUACACCGUGGCGAUUAUACUAGACUUAGGACAUUUAACAAUGUUCCAUAUGCUUGCAAAGUGCUGAUGAAGUAUUUACAAGUUUUAACCAUAGAAAAUAUAUGUAAUAUUAAGAGAGAUAUUACCUUGAUUCAGCUUAUAUCUCAAAGUCUAUUUGUAGAAGAACAUUCUAUUGUACAGAUGAGUUACGUAAUUUCCAUUUGUCAGUUAAAUACAGGAGCUCUCACUUGUUAAACUAUAUAAAAAUACUGUGCACUGUUUAUGGACACUGGUUAAAGAAUAAGUGUUUGAAAAAUCUCCUCACUUUGGUGGGGGAAUGAAGCUUCAGAGGAUUAAUGAGCUCAGGGAGGGGGAGGAUGAGGUGUGCUGGGCUUAGGAAGGCAACGGCAUUCAUAUUUCCUGUGAUUCUCAGAGAUUAACAAGAGAUGAUACAACAUAAAUGUGGUUAAAUACUAAGUCUGUGAACUGUGGGAGAUGGGUGGGUGGCUGUGUUCAUCCUCAGCAGUAUGGAUUGAAGCUAGGGCCAUUUCUAAGGUGCAGAAGGACCCUCUGGAGCCUGCGCACAGGGAUAGGACGCUGAGGACCUCUGCGUCUCCUCAGCCAUGAAUCCACCGCGUGGUCACAAUAGGAGUUAAGGUGGACAUGCGACUCACUUAAGAUGGAAACAUAAAUCAAUAGAACAUGAUUUAACCUGGAAGUCACAACAAAAGCUGGCCAAGAGGGAAGAGAAUGGCAGCAGGGGAUUCUGGGAGCUUCGAAAGAUGCUGUAGGAGUGGACAUCCAUGUCACCGGAUACCAGAAGGUCCCAAACACUAGAGAUGAACUCACUCCAAAACUGCAAAAAAGCUGGGGCUAGAUACUGCCAGCGAACGCACAACUGUCCUACUUGAUCUGCCUUGGCUGCUAAGCCUAGGGAGAAAGUAGACAAGAGAGCUGGCAGGCAUACAACCAAACAUCAGACAUCUUCAGGAAGAAAUAACUCAUUGUAUAAAAAAAAAAGUCUGUGCACGGCACAGCUGGCCCAGCGCCUACUAUUCUCAGGGUGCAAAAUGAAAAUAAAUCCAGACGGUUAGAACAAGAUAGCAAGUGGUCUAAGGAUAGGAUAGGUGCUGGGCAAUGAGCAGAACAAAGACUCUACCAUUACUUGAGACGAGAUAUUCAGGGGGAAGCCACGGUGUAGGUAGCCUGGCUCCCCACAGAUCUAGAUCGAGGCACAAGCAAAUGUGCACUGGAAGUUUGUGGGAACACUGUAAGAAGAGGUGGGGUUAGCAAAGUGGGGAGGCCCAGGGAAGAAGUACCCUGCCGAGGUAGCCAGACCUGCCAGGCCCUGAGUCAAGGGAGCUGCAGAGAGCACCUCUCUAGCUGUAGAGAAGCUGCACGAGGACCACAAACCCAAGGUUAGGAGGUGACUGACUGACUGACUGACUGACUGACUGGGCAGUAGGAGGAUCAGCCUUGGCAAGAGGAUGACAACAGAGCUGUGCCCCAAUGUGAGGUCCCAUGUGCUCCCUGCAGGAAGCGGAUGUCCUGAUGAUGGUUGGGGGUGGAAGAGUAGCUAAGGGAGGCAAAGGGCAGUCUAGGUUUCUGUUUAGGCAUGGGUAUUAUAGAACUGCCAUUUCCUGGAUGGAAGUGACCAUGGGUCCAAUGAUCUGCAAGUCACCCCUCCCUGGUAUUCUGAAGCCACUUAAACUGAUGCAUGUGCAGCCAAGAGACAGCCAAGCUCUAAACUCCUCUGUUAAAGAAUAGGGAGAAAGACAAGAGAUCAGAUCAUUCUUUAAAAGAACAGAGAGGAAGUUAGUGUUUAAAAGGGGCAUUUUCUACCCUCAACAUCCCUCUAAACAUGGUUUUUAGUAGAAGCUAAAACUCUGUGCUUUCUGUUUCCACUCAGCGCUAACUAUGGUGAGUCACUUUUUCAGGCCCUGUUACGCAUCACAAGCCCAGCAUUUGUCACUGUUUGGUGUAGAGCAGCACCUGAAAGCCUGUGGCUUACUUCUUAGUAGGAGGUGGUGGCAUCAAGUGGGGCUUAGUGAAGACAAUUUAGAUAAAUAGGGGAAUAGCCUUGAUGGGAGUACUUGAAUCUCAUCCUCUCUCUUCUUUCUUCCUGGCCACCAAGUCUGACACAUUUUCCCUAUGAGCAGCUACCAUGCAUAAGCCCCAAGGCAGCAGGCUAAUGAAUUAUGAAUUGAAACCUUCAAAAUGUGACCUGAGAUAUACCUUUUCACUUUUUAAAUGGGAGGGAAGGAGGGAAGGAGAAAGGGAGAGAGAGGGAGGGAAGAAAAGGGGGGAGAGACAGAGACAGAGAUGGAACCCAGGAUCACGUACACAAUAGGACAGGCCGACACUCUAUCAUUAAGCUACAUCCCAGACUGUCUUACUUUUCUUUCUAACUUUGACAUACAUGUGCACAUGUGUGGGUGUGCAUGCAGAGACCACCCAUGAACAGUAGAGCUCCAUUGCUUUCCACCUUAUUUUGUUCUCUUACUCUCUCGUGAACCUGGCUAUCACUGAGUCCCUGGGAUCCUCCUGUUUCCACCUCCCAAUGUUGGAAUUAUAAGCACACAUUGCCACGUUUUUUUAAAACAUGGGUGCUGGCAAGUCUGACCUCAGCUUUUCAUGCUUGUGUGGCAAAUACUUUGCCCUCCCCCCAAACCCCGCCCAAGCCAUCUUUCUAGCCUCCUUGUCUUAAGAGAUGUUGUUUCAGUAACACAUGCUGAUAAACACAUCUCUAAUUGGACAAUUAGGAAUCUAACGACUCUGAUCCAGACGGUUUGGGCGCUGACACGAUGAUGCUUAUACCUCCCACAGUGAAGCCUUUCAGAUUUUGAACUUUUGAAUCAAGACCUAUCAGCUAGAAAACCAAACACAAAUACUACAGAUAUUUCUUGUGCCAAGUAUUUUAGAUAAGGGGCACUGAUUUGAGCUCUCAGUGCAAAUACUUUGGGAGGAGAAGUCACUGAAGCUUUAACAUAAAUGUCUCUGUGGUAGCUUCCACAGGUUGCUCUCGGAGGGACAUAAUAUGACUAUUCUAUUUCUAAUAUAAUUUUCCCAUUUGUUUAUUUCAUGGGGGGGGACAUAUGGAGGUCAGAGGACAACUUGUACAGUCGUUUCUCUUCUGCCAUGUGGGCCACAGGAACGGAACCUGGGUCCUCGUGCAAAAUGUGUUUUUACAUGCCAAGUCACCUCAUGAGUCUAAUGAGAACAUUUUGAUUAUUACUUUUCACAAGUACACAGAGAAAAGAAAAAAAACUAUUUGAUAAUUCGUCCCCACUGUGGAUUGAGGUGCACAGAGCUCUACUGGGUAAGUGCUACACAACUGAGCCAUGGGAAAGGAAUGCAAAGCUAGGCAGCUUCACCAGGAACUGGUAUUUGUUUCUGGCAGGGUCAUGCCCUUCUGGGAAUCAAUGUAGUAACAUAGUCUUCUGAAAGCCAUAAAAUUCCCAGAUGCAUUGAUUCACUAUUUCUUCUGCUAGUUCCAUUAAAAAAAACAAAUCAAAACAAACAAACAAACAAAAAAACUUCCAAAGGAAAUCAGUUCCUGAGACAAUGGUGUCCUGUAUGAGUAGAAGGGAGUGAAGUGACAGACUCAGAGCUUCAUCAGGAAAUGGCUGAGAGCCUGCACCGUGCUCCCUCUCCUCUCCUCGGCUUCUCUUACUUCUCCUAAAGACUUUGGGUGGUGGUGAUUUUGAAUCCACCCAGCACAGGGAAAGAAGACUCUCUGAGGCCGGAGAACUGUGUCAGAAUCCAACGUCCAACGGACACAACCUAGAGUGACUCCCUGCCUGCACGGCAGAUAGAACCCAGGGUCUGGCAUGCCAGGCAAGGGCUUUCCACCGAGCUGGAUGCCCUGUUUCCAUAAGAGGAAGCACAUCCAGCCUCAUCACGGCUUUAUGGAAACACAGCAAAAUUUUAAGCAUGCGAUGCUAAAUAGAGAGGGAAGAAAUCAAAUCUCUCUCUCUCUCUCUCUCUCUCUCUCUCUCUCUCUCUCUCUCUCUCUGUCUCUCUCUGUGUGUGUGUGUGUGUGUGUCAAAGUGACUCUACCUCUAAGAAAGGCUCAAAGUGACAAGAAACAUUGGAGCCUAGAAGCAUUUGAUGGGAUUCCCAGUCUGUUCAUCCACACCCUAGAGGCACAAAUUGGACUCAGUGGGUAAAAAUACUAAGGUGGGGAUUAAGUUCAGAGCAAUUGAUGGCCCUGUGGUCUUUGGAGGAGUUAGAGUAGGGGAGUGAGGUGGAUAUGAUAAAAUUUACUGUAUGCUGCAUGAGAUUUCUCAAAGAAUGAAUAAAAAUAUUAUUUUUAAAUUCCCAUCUGCUAUUCAUUUUAUAAUUUUGGAUAAAUAACGUAAAGAUACAGUUUAUACAAAAUCGAUUUCUAACAAAAGCGAGUUCUACCCUACAAGCACAGCCCUCGGGGUAUAUUUUCUUAUGAGAGAUUUGCGAAUGUUCCAGAAACAGCCUUCUUGAGCUUUUCCAGGCUAGGACACGCCUGGUUCCUCGUACUUGUGGGAACACUGACACCAUGUGGUGGAGUCAGCUUCAUACACAGGCUUCUGGCAACCUCUGGGAGUUCAUUGUCUUGCCCAGAGACCAGUGGCAGCUGGGAAGGAAGGCAGGCUGGAAGGCAUGGGAAGUAAGACAGAAUUUCUUUAAGAUGGUAUUUCUAAUAACGGUUCCUAAGUUGUCCUGCGUUCAUGGAAGCAAACGUUUCUCAGUUGUCCUGUGUUCACGGGCUUCCUUGAUAUUUUCUGGAGUCAUAAAUGUUUGGCAUUAACCAGAGCCUGAGGGUGGAGACUUCAGCAAGAUAUGGAACCCACCACAAACACAGGAGGCUCUGCCCACACAGGGGAGACAAUGCCAUGCUAUCACAGCUUUUCCUGUGAACCGAACAAAGCAAGUGAAUAAACUGUAAUUUUAAUUUUAUUUAUGUUUUGAUCAUUGAUUCUUUAACACUUCAUCAAAAAGCCUUUGGCUUCAUGGUAGCAAGCAAGACUACACUAUCAGCAAGGCUCUUGUUAAUAAAUUUUAGAGAUUGGUGCAUUUAUAGAAACUGUUUCUAACCAGAUGAUGGGGAUUAUUAUUACAGGUAGAUUAUCUCUCAUGGCUGACUCUAAACGAGGUCUGGGCCUUGCGCGGGGUCCCUUCACUAAUGACAAGUUCUCUGACAUUCCCCUCCGUGGGCAUAGAAAGAGGAGCUUCCCGGAAAGUGUGGGAUUUCAAGAGAAGCAUUUGGAGGGAUUAGCAAGGUGCUAAGUGUAUUUUAGGAGAUACAAAUGACAAAGGAAGCUAAAUCUUGGAAGAAGGUAAACUUCGAUUUACAGAAGCUGAAUUUGCCUGAGAAGUGGGUUACACAGACCACCAUCUGUCUACACUGAUACUGUUGUUUGUUUGUUUGUGUCAUAGGCAUAAUGUACUACUUAAAGCUUCUCAAAAAAAAAAAAAGCAAUCAACAAUCUUUGCAAUCUCCCUGAUAAGGUUCUACUGGACUGUGCUCAGAAGGCUUCCCGUGGGUGGUGCUGAGCACCACAUAGGUUGUAAAGCAAUAAACAGUCAUCCACAGGGCCUGGAAACACUUGAAAUCAAGGGAUGGAUCACUUGUAGCUUAUCACUGGAUCUAUAUAUUUGGUAGUCUCUCAGUCUAUGUAGUACUACUUGGAGGAGGACUAGUUGCCUUCAACUGUUCAAAACAGAAAAUGUACAACACUGUGAGGACUCCUGGGACCCCAACUGCUGAUGCAAUUGGAUCCUGCCUGCCGGUCAGAUAAGGGUGUACUUGCAGGCUAGCGGGCAACAGCAAAGUGACAAGAGAUAGUAGCACGGUGUUCUAAGGAAUGCUCUGUCACCUUUGGAAAGGGUACCAAAUACACAAAGGCACUCAACACGUUUGACAGAUUUGAUCAAUAAUCCACCUCUGAAAGUAGGGUCUUUCUCUGUCUGUGAAUGGAAGAUUUAACAGAGAUCAUACAACUAGGCUAACCAUGGAGGUCAGGAAGGGCUUGGGUAGCAGACAUUUCAUUAGAUGCUAUUCAGUCCUAGGGCUUCCACUGUUUUCACAAUCUAUGGCUAACCAUAUCAAAGGUUCAGUUAUAGACUUCGUUUUACAUUAUCCCUUUUUAACAGUAUAUUAUUUCACGUGGAUUUUUCUAAUAGAAAUCACAUAUCCCAGAGAAUACUCCACAUCCGUGGGUAAUCAUCUUUUCCUUCCCUCACAAUUCUGUAGUCCUCGGUCAUACUGAAUCAUGGUUGGUUAACCUCUCAGUCUCCCACUGAAGGGCCCCUGGGUGUUGUUUAGCUCCUGCUAUUACAAAUAAUACCACAAAAAUGGCCUCCUGCAUCACCACAAACUCUGGCAAAGGAGCUUUUGUGACCAAUAGAUUUCUAUUUGCCGGAUUUCUGAUGUAAAACAAUAAAUCUACUUAUAGUUUGGCUAGAUAACACUAUUCUCCGCUUUAAAUGCGAUAGCAUUUUACAUUCUGCUCAGUAACGCAUUUGUAAGUCCCUACAGAUUAGCCAGCAGAGGUGAUGGGCAAACCUCCGAAGUUUUGUUAUCUAGUAGGUAAUAAAAGAGUUUUGCUCUAAGGGUAAAUGGUAUUUCUCAUGACUAAGCUUCAACUAUUUUCAAAUAAUUUAUAUGCCAGGUACAUCAGUUUUCUCUCUGCCCUGUCUAUGCACUCCGAUCAACGUAGCACCUUAAAGAUGCCUUCUCCACAGGAUAUUCAGAGUUUGUCAGUUUUUAUACAACUCUCACACUGGUGUUUACUUUCGCCGCCCCUCCCUUUCCCUGGAUCGCUUUCUUAUGCCUUUAUUCUUCGUGCUGCUAUGCAAGAUUUGCCCCCAACAGUCAAAUUAAAACUUGAGGUGGGAGACACAGUUAGAAAAGUAUUCACGUGUGUGUGUGUGUGUGUGUGUGUGUGUGUGUGUGUGUGUGUGUGUGUGUGUGUGUGUGUGUGUGUUUUGCUGGUCACAUGCCAGGUUUCAGUAUGAACAUGUAGAUUUCUGAUCUUUGAAUUUGUUCUGGCGGUUGCUGUGAGAUGUGCACACGUUUUAUUUGUCUUCGGGGUCAUUCCCAGCCCCACUUACUGAUGCCCACUGCCCUUGCUGUUGAGCUGACCGUACUGUAUUUUCCUUGCAACUGACUCCACGUUUUCCCGCUGCACCACUGCUCACGCUUAGAAUUCUCCUCAAAGCUGCAAAGCCUACUUGGAAAGAUCGGCGAGGCUUUCCAUUUCACAGGCUUUUCAGGUUUUCUUGGAUCUUCUUGUGUGUUAACUUUUUCCAACUAAAUUUUUAUUUAUAAUUAACUUUAUAAUUAAUUUAACUGGUGCUAAAACAAAACCUAACUGGAACAAGGGCACUGAACAACCUGUCCAAGAGUAUGGCCUCUGCUCUCAUAAGCAGUUCUACAGUUACAUGUAUUUUCGAGGAUCUUUCAUUAUUUUCAAAAAUGCUUUGGACAUUUUCUAUGAAGUUUUUGCCUAGGUUCUCUCAUCUGUGACUCACCCAUCCAUCUCUCAAUCCAUCCAUCCAUCCAUCCAUCCAUAUUCUCACUUAGCCAGCCAGCCAUGCACAUCAUGACUAUAUUCCUAUGUUUCUACGUACGUCAAAAGAGCUCACACAGUGUUGCAAUGCUCACUACAAAAUUAAGCUAACCACUCAUUAACGUAGGAAGAGUUACUACCUGGUUAUAGAAUAGCUCGAAUAUGUGUGAGGUGCCAAGACCUUGGAUAUAAUAAUAGCUUCCCUGCUCAAACAUAAGAAGUUUGUUUAUUGAGUGUGCGAAAUAUUAGAAGAUAUUUUUCAACAUUUCCCUGAUAAAACAGGUUGAUGAAAGACAAGCCUUAAAGAGUAAUGCAUUUAUGGCCAUCAAAAAAACGUCUUCUGUUGACCUAAGUCUGUUUAAUAGCAGAGCAAACACAAUGCCUGGCUGAUGCAAUUAGUUCACGUAGGAACAUACUUAAGACUACAGCAGAAGAGGUCUCCUUAAAAUCAUUAGCUGACUCUAUUCAGUCUGAUGCGAUUUGUGUGGGAAAAGACAUAAGCAAGUGUGUGUCCCCUGGGCUCAGGGGAGCUUCUGGAAUUGCAUUAAAUCCUCCAAAUUGCAAACAUUCUUACUUGACAGAAAGAGGUGGCGAUAAUGAAGGUGGAAGUCUGGUUUCCACAGUGCAUUAAAAUAAGGACAUCAAGAGGAGGAAGCUCGUGAGGUCUGAGCAGUAACUUGUGUUUUCAAGUGCACACAGAAGACCGGUACGUCUCAGCGGACAGACGUGCGCAAUUACCAGGGGCACAUAUUCAUUUAUUUCCUUGAACUUUAAGAUGUAAUUGGACUUUUGUAACUGAGGUAGAUUUGACGUUUUCUUAGGCCGACAAUAAGGGCUCGCUGUACCAAUUAACUUAGACGGCAGGCAUUUUCCUCAGUCUGAAUGAGCUGACUUUCACUAACCCAGACCGUGACCAAAAACAAGUCUAAGAUUGUUCUCAAAUAAAAUUCCAUAUUCUUGACUGAAAAAAAAAUAGACUUUACACUCUAUGAAAAUACAAAUCAUUAAGAGUUUGUUUGCCAAACCUAGUAGAACGUACGAAGACCUCAAGUCUCUCAAACAUAUAGUUUAGAAAUUACCCAUUGGCAAAAGAAGAGUAAGUAUGAUGAGCAUUUGACAAAUGCUAACAGAGCUUUUUCUUCCUUUAUACCUCCCAGAAGUCACUGUUCCAGUGUGACUACAAAUCUAAUAGCUCUCAACUUUUGGCCAUGAACAAAUUUGGAAGAUAAUUUUUGAUUAUAGAUCACUGCUUGGCAGGGUGUUGUGUGCAAAGACAUCAAAGAAGUGAACAGUGGUGAUGUGGUAAAAUUGCUCCACCCUUAUAGACAAUUCAUACAUAAUGUUCUCAGUUUACAUCAGCACAUGUGGAAAGAUAUACUGAACUAAUACUGAGUCUCUUCAGGAUCUGUGAAAUGGGCAAAAGACAACUCAUCUUUCAUUUUAUUAAGAAACGUCUGCAAGAAAAAUUUACACCUCUGGUUUAAUGAUUCUAUAGCCAUAACUUCUGUAUUUUUAAAUUAUCUUGAAAUUGUCAUAGAAACUUAACCUAGCCAGGGGAUGGUGGUGCACGUCCACAAUCCCAGCACGUGGGAGGCAGAAGCAGGCAGAUCUCUGAGUUCAAGGCCAGCCUGGUCUACAGAGUGGGUUCCAGGACAGCCAGGGCUACAUAAAGAAAUCCUGUCUGAGGAAAACAGAACAAUCUAUGAAAAUGUUUUCUCAUUUAAAGCCGUAUAAUCAUAGAAAUGAAAAAAAUGUAGAUGGGUAUUUCUCUAUCAGACUUUAUUUCAAGUUGUUAAAAGAUAUUUUCAAGUAUCAAAACCACACUGGAUAGAACGAGAUGGGAUGUGCAACUAAGAGUGUCAGCUCGGCAUUGUUAAUGCCAUGGAGAGUUGGCCCAAGUAAUCUGUGUGUGCAAGCAUGCACGUGUACACAUGUGCAUGUGUGUAGAGGAUAGUGAAAUGGUGAACAGAAGCCAGAGGAGUGCUGUCUGUCCUGCUCUGUUAUUCCCACCUUUCUCCUUUGAGAUAGCUUCUCUCACCUAGACUGGUUGGCCUCCGAGCUUCUAGGAUCUCCUUAUCUCUACCCUCCAACGCUGGGGUUAUAGGCACACAAAGUGGCCAUUCCUAUUUCUGUGUGUGGAUGCCAGGCACUGAGCCAUCUCCUUACAGCUGUCUAGAUAAAUUUUAGAGGUAAAUGUCAGGCUUUUACUAAAAGUAUUCAAAAUAUAAGUACUUAUAUGAUGCAAUGAUUUAUGCUGUUUUGGGUGUUUAACAUUAUAAGGAAACUUAUAAUGUUAGAUGCCAAUUUUGAAAUGUUAAAAUAAAACAGUCAUUUAAGAGAUUUCUUCCUGGGUUCUGUUGACAAUGUAUAGUUACAGAGCUUAAUAAAUCCCAGUGGCCACUAUCGGCCUACGUCUGGUAGUGUGUGGGGAAAGUUUCAGAAAGUGUAAAUCUACGGAGUCCGUUGCAGGGUUCUCCUGCGCACUCUCAGUGGACUAGAGACGAGUAGAGGCUGAAAUCCCCAACACUGGCCAAACAAGCACGUGCAAACACAUGCAGCACACAGAAACGAAGCAAUGGCAUGGACUGGAGCUAAUUUUCACUCUUGUUACCUGCGAUGCUGCCUGGCUAGCAGAAGCACCCGCUGGAUUAAGUACUUACGUUCAAGUCCCCUCCAGACGCUGACUUCGAGGGAUCCUCGUCGCUAUCUGCGCCCGACAGCCCAAGAUGCUCAGCCUAGAACACAGACAUGCACUCCACCAUCAACUCAGACAAGAAAAUAAAGCCCAACAAGAGCAGCCAUCCUUAGCAGCUACAAUGGCAGACAUCAAAAAAAAUAAAUAAAUAAAAAUGAAAGCAAACAAAACAAGCAAACAGAAAACCAGCACAGGCAAGCUUGAAGCAAGGCAGAGGGAAGAAUCUAUGCGCACUCCUCCAUUUUAGGAACUGGAGUGGUAUUUCGAAACAGCUCCUACCCAAAGCACCCCCUCAUGCCAAAAUCAACUACUGAAUCCAGAACUCAUGAGAAGAAACUUGUCUUCUCCUCUUUUAUUUUUUUGUUCUUUGCCCCAAAUCAUUUCUUUAUUUAAAAAAAUAUUCAGUUUAGAAAUAAUAGUGACUAUAAUCUGGCAAAGUUAGAAUAGCAAAUCAACUGGUGAACUAGGUUUUAAAGAUAGCGAAGUUUUAAUUGCUCCAUAGUUAACGGAUUGAAGAUACACAGAACCCAUUUACCGAACAAACAGCUGAUUCCUUCUCUAUCCACAAAGGGCAAACAAUACUAUUCCAUCAGCUGCACAAUCAGGUAGGGAGAGCCAAUUAGAAAAUUCAAUUCCCUAGCCUCCUAAUGAGAACCUAGGGACUUAACCCAAGAAUUCGUGCUUUCAAUUAGACCUGAGGUUGAAAUUUAGGUAUGUUCUUAAAACAACUAGUUUGAGAGAAUGAGUAAUGUCAAAAGUGAUACAAAAUUGGCAUGCAUUAAAAAAUUAAAAUAUUAAGCAUUUGUCCUUACUUGCCCCAACCAAAAUUAAAGUAUAUAGAUUAUUAACAUACACAUUCACUCACCUAGACACCUAUGCAUAUUCUUCCUUAAAGGCAGCAUACUAGAACGCAACUUCAGUUUGAAUGCUUUCCUAAGUCCCCAUUCUCUGAUUUUAUGCCGUACUGAGGCAUGAGCUUGUCUGUCUGUCACCGUGUCACGGGAUUAUAAGAACCGUUAUAAAGUUACUUACUCAAAGUGCUUUUGAUGGAUAAAGAAAUUGAAAGUCACACUUUGCUAAGCACUGUGCGAUGUGCAUGGAGGACUGACAUCAAGGACUUAGGGAUUCAUUCUAGAAUUUACUAGUACUAGAACGGACUAAACUAUCAAGAUGUGAGCUGUUUGGCUAUACUGAUGGACAAUGAUGACCUUCUCUCUCACCAGGUAAGGAUGCAUUCAGCAUGCCAAAAUCUCUAAUUAUAGCAAGGAUAGAGGCAAAGAGCUAGGAAGCAUCUCUCUCUCUCUCUCUCUCUCUCUCUCUCUCUCUCUCUCUCUCUCUCUCACACACACACACACACACACACACACACACACACACACACACACACACUGAGCAACCCAAUAGCAACAAGGCUAAGUAAGUGGAUAAUGUGUAGAGCAGGAAUAUAUUUAAAUAAAGCAGAAAUAAAUGAAAGAUGAGGUACAUAGAAAGUGAUAAAUGACCCUAAAAGUCCAAGGCAGAAAAGACAAGCUAUUGCAUAAUGAGAUAUUCUUUUAAUGAACAGGGCAGACUGUGCAUCAACAGUGACUCUUUCCCUGAUGGAACCUGGGUUCCUGGUGCUAGUCCUUCCCAUUGUCAAAAGGUAGAGGGUCUCCACACUUCCAGUAGAUAGUGGAGGGAUGGGGACACCAACCCAGCUUCAAAAUUUUUGACCCAUAAUUGCUCCUAUCUAAAGAAAUGCAGGGACAAAAAUACAGCAGAGAUUAAAGGAAAGACCGGUCAACCAGUGACUGGCCCAACUUGGGACCCAUCCCAUGGAUGGCCACCAAAUGCUUAUACUAUUACUAAUGCUGUGUUAGGCUUGCAGACAGGAUCCUAGCAUGGCUGUGCUCUGAGAGGCUCUACCAGUAGCUGACUGAGACAGAUGCAGAUACUUAUAGCCAACUAUUGAACUGAGGUCAGGAACCCUGGUGGAAGAGUUAGGGGAAGGAUUGAAGGAGUUGAUGGGAAUGGCAACCCUAUAGGAAAACCAACAGCAUCAAUAAACGUGGACCCCUAGGAGCUGUCAGGGACUAAGCCACCAACCGAAGAACAUACAUGGGCUGAUCCAUGGCCUGUAGCUCAUGUGUAGCAGAGGGCUGCCUUGUCUGGCCUCAGUGGGAAAGGAUGUGCCUAUAUCUGUAGAGACUUGAUGACCCAGGGGAAGGGGAUGUGAGAGGGCUGAGGGGGAUGGAUGGAGUUGGUGGGGAGCACCCUCUCAGAGUCAAAGGAGAUGGGGAACAGAGUGAAGAACUCUCGGAGGAAGGACCAGGAAGGGAGUCAACAUUUGGAAUAUAAAUAAAUAAAACAAUUAAAAUUAAAGAAGUUAGAGGGUCUCUAAACCCCAAGCUUCUUUCGGUUACCUUACGAGCUAAACCAAAUGUUUCCCUACCCUUAUAUUUUGCUUUAUCUGCUGGGGAUUGCCUCUCAGUGAGGGAGCUGCAGAAUCAGCUAGAUCUAAGGUGAGGGAUGGGGAAUUAAGAGUUUUAUUAUGAACUGGUAACCAAGGGGACGGGAGAAAACACAGUCCCAGCAAGUUCAUCUAAACAAUACCAGGAACAAAAACACAAUUAAGAGCCCUGAAGAAUUCUGAUUCUUUAAUUUCAUUUAUACUUGACAUGAAAGGAAGAGGCCAAGGAAAGGAAGGGGAAGAACAGGAGGAGGGGGUGGUGAGCUACUUAAGAAUAAAAAGAUCUCACUAAUGAGACAUACUCUGAGCACAGAUUUUCAAAGGACACAGAAAAACAGGAUAAAGAGCACAGAAUAUAUAAUUAUAUACCUCAUCCUUCACAAAGCGGAAUGAGAAAACCAUUACAAGGUUUCAGGAAGGAGGAAGAACAGGCCGUGCUAGCCCCACAGAUAAAAAGAGUUUUGCUCUUCGGUGUCUAGAAGUUCAUGCUGCAGCCUAGUAGAAGGUGCCCGUUGCCACCACAGCUGGGGGUAGCCUGGGACACCAGGCAAAGCACCUUAGGUUUUAGCACCACCACCAGCAAGCAUAGAGUAAGUCGUAAUACUAAGAGUGCAGGUUCUGAAGGAAAGAGCUGGCUGAUGUGUAUGCAGCACAGAGGUGCAAGUCUACGAGGCUGGGCUGACAGACUUCCUCGCCUCACAGGUGGAGGGCCUGUCCCACUUCAGAGAGUGACAUGGAUAUCAAUUACUUACCUUAUUCUUUCCUUCGUAAAAUCGGUGUAUGUGUGUUAUAUGUGUGUCUCACAUACAUGUGUCUGAAUUUGUGUGAGGAGCUGGGGAUACAAACUCAUUUUCGUGCUUGCAAAGCAAACAAACACUCCUCUUACUCAGUGGGCUAUUGCUUUAGCCUCAACUUUGUAUUUUUGAGCCAUAGUUAUUAGCAAGGAACGGAUGCUCCACUUAUUAAAAGAAUACAAUGGUGUUAUUGUGCUCUUUGCCAGGUAACCGGAAGGUGUUUAUGAUUUUUGAGGCUCUUUAAACUGAAUAGAUAAAUAAAGCUCUUCAUUUUAACUCUUCGCAGUAUGAUUUUAAAUCACUACAAAAUAUUGCGUUAUUAUGAAUACUUAUUGAGCAAAGAACAGCAAGAUAAAAAACCAAUUAUAAUGUUCUGUGAUUUCAGUCAUGUUAAAAAGGUAAAAAAAAUGGGGUUGGGGAUUUAGCUCAGUGGUAGAGCGCUUGCCUAGGAAGCGCAAGGCCCUGGGUUUGGUCCCCAGCUCCGGAAAAAAAAGAACCAAAAAAAAAAAAAGGUAAAAAAAUAAAAACAAAAACAAACAAGCAAAACCAAAAGAAAAAAUUUACUACAGAAAAUGGGGCAAUUCCAGAACAAAUAUAAGUGAUCCUGACUGCAACCCCUUCAGACUUCCUACUUUAAGCUGGAAAGCUGGAAUCAUCUGCAUGGACACUGACCAUGAUGUUUAAACUUAAUAAUGCAAGACUCACUCAUUCCCAUCCCCAGAGGCUGCUCACUGAGUCUCACUGUACUAAUGAGAGCACCCGGCAGGAUGUGGCUGAGGAGUCCAGAGGCUUUCAGCUCUACCAGUGAGUGAAACGUAAAACACUUUUCCCUUACAUAACUGCCUGAAGCCUCUAGUGAAGAUUCAGUAUCACUAAACAGUUACUUUUUAAAAUCCCAAGGCAGGUGCAGUAGAAACACUGUGAGAAACUCCUUCAGAUCCCAGAGUCCCUCGCAUGUGACCUACCUUACUGUUGCUCCUCUUAUUAACUUUGAAAAACCCAAGAAAUUUUUUCUUCUCCUUAUCUGUCUCAUCAUUGCCAAGGGAUGAUUUCCUGAGCAUUUCUGGAGGAGGGGAGGAAAAAAAGAGAAGGAGUACUAUUAUUUUUCAGCAUUUGAAACAUGAGAUUAAGUACUUCACUUGUUAAAACCUUAACUGAAUCCUUUAAUCUGUUAGUUCUAAGAAGAAAAUCAUCGAGACUUCCAUCAAAGCCUUCCGCGCUACCUCAAAGCCCUCCAGUCCAGAGGAAAUCACGUGACGUUCUUAUACAGGUUUUUAGCGACUAAAGCAGCGUUUUUCUCUCUGAGAGUGGCUUUGUCCUCCUUGUGGGAGAUGAAAAGAACCGGAUCAAUGGACGGUCAAUAGCGAUGCCGUUUAACAGAGGCCUAGUGCAAACUCUGCUGCUUUGUGUUUGCCAACAGCAGCAUUAAGGAUAGGAGAGGUUACCUUCAACUGCAAUUUUAUCCAAUCCAAAAUAAUUACAAUACUGUCAUUUACGACAGUCAGUAUGAAAGCGACUGAUGCUUUGCACUUGCUUCGGUACGGAGUCUGCAAAGGCAGAGUUGACCUGAGGUUGGCAAUGCUUCUCCUUUUGGACUCCCCGAACAUGUGUACUACUUCAAGUUGUAAAUGCAGCAGGUGCAACCAGAAACCAUUGCUCUAAGAGCUGUGACAUCUUUGCAAAACCAGUCUGCCGUAGGAGGUCUGAGUAAGGUAAAAAUGCUAAUUAAAUCAUGAAACCCCUGUUCUUUCCUCGACCAUGAAGCAACGGUGAAAGAGACUUGGUUACUGUUUGAACCUGAUCUUCAGGGAGUCUGGUCAUCGCUUUUUUCUUUCUUUUGUAUUUGAUUUAAAACAACUUAUCUUGUUUCGCGUGUGUGAGUGUGUCCCUGUAAUACAUGCCUGUGUACCAUGUGCAUGCCUGCUGUCCACAGAGGCCCAAGGAGAACAUCAGAUCACCUACAACUAGGGUUACAGAUGUGUGGGAGUAGCUUCCAUGUUCUGGGAACCAAACUCGGGUCCUCUGAAAGAGCAGUAAGUGCCCUUAGCCACUCAGUUGUCUUCAUUGCGGUCCCAGAACAUUUCCUCUUUAAGAUUAUAUUCUCCUAUUUGCCUAUUCUAGGCUUUCACUUACCCUGCCCUUCUCUCCCAACACAGGAAGAUAUGACAGAGUGGAGAAAAACUAAACAAAAACAAGAGGUCUUUUUGUAAAGGGUAGAAACAUCAAUUUUCCCAGAUCAAACUGCAGGACAGCCAGACCUCUAGACCACUGGUGGAAAUAUUCCCUUGUGGAAUCUGACAAAGUGCCAGCUCAGAGGAAGACAGAAGGCCAAAGGCAUUUGCAGGUGUGGGAGUAAAGAGACAUCGCAGGAUAGAACAACAACCUCCAUUCCUCUUUUGCCCAUUUCACCACAGGAGAAAGCCCCAGCUGCCUGACUCUUCCCACACCUAUCUGUAGACAGGGUUCCUGGCAGCUGCAGGGGGAGAAUACAGCUCCUCUUAUAGGCUUAAUAACUAGGAAGUGGAAGUCUUUACACUGCUUUGCAAGGCUCACGACCUGGAAUUCUCUACACAGGAGAAGGAACACAGGAAAGCUCCACCCAGACACCAGGAUCUCACCUCCCACUAACCACGCUCUGCUUCUCCAGUCCACUGGGCAGAACCACAGUGAUGUCCAAGGUACUGUUGUGAAGUGCCUCCUUCAAGUGGACCAGGCUUUGCUGUGAACCCAGUGUGGCGUCAUGAGGCAGUUUCUGUUCGCUGUGGACAUUCUGGGCAGCAGGCUUUCCAGGAGGUGGUGGAGCGCGGGCCUUCAUCUUCCUUCUUGAAAACGAUAACACAGAAACACUGAGGCUGAGAGCCACUGCGUUCAACUGUCCCCGCGUUCCUGAACAAAGCUGACUUGAUGACAAACAUUCAUUUUGAUGUUUCCUUGAAUUUUAUUUGUCAUCAUUUUUGUUGAGAAUUCAUUUUGUUUAGAGAAAAAUCUGGGAAGUUUUUACAUAUUUUACAACACAUUAUGUGUUCAUGGUACCCUUUUUUUUUUUGAUUUAAAAAAAAAAAAUCUUUGUGGUGGUUGCCAGAGGCAGGGGAAGGGGGAAUAUACAGUUGAUGUUUUAUGGAUGCUGGUUCUGAAAGACAAUCAGGUGUAGAGAUGGAGGGUGGUGAGAGCUGAACGUGACACAAGUGAACCACACACUUGAAAAUGGUUGGAGAGGUCUAUUUUAUGCUCUGGGUUUCUUAGCACAGUCUGAAAGUUGUCCCUUUCCAGCUAACAACGACCUCAGUUCACAGAUUUACUAAGUGCAUCUUAUUUCCAUGGAACACCUCUGCCGCUGUCCGUGUGGUGGUGGUGGGGAGGGUGCUCUGGCUUCCACCACCUCUGAUGCCUUAAAUGCUAUAGGUGGCUGGUUUCGAUGAGCCGGCUGCAGGAAACAGCAGGGUACUGAUCGUGAAGAGGGAGCAGAGAUUUUAGGCCAUCUCCUGUGAGGUCAGGAGUAGCACGAGUGGGACAGGCAGGGAUCCUGAUUCGGGAAACAGGCUGUGGUGGAAUUUGUCGAUGCCUCAAGCUUGGCUCCCUCCCACUCAUCAUCUUCCAAGGGAUAAUCUAUCAGUGCUGAUACCUUAUAGUCAGGUUUGUCAAGGAUGCGUGCAUUAGGAUCAGAAGCUUCUAGUGUAAAUACGCAGCAUUAGAACAAGGGAAUCCUGUUUUGCCUGCUCCGUGUGGAGGCAUGGCUAUACUGAAUGCCCUCCAAAGAACAUAGUCAUAGUGAGAAACAGAAAACGCCAGCUUCCUGCGCUUUUGAAAGGCACAGAGAGAACAGACGCUGUUCCAACAGAUGCCCCGAGUCACCUCCGUUCAAUUGUGAAAGCCCAUGAGUACUACCAUGAAGAUGCUUCUCAAAGGUCGAUACUGUCAAUCUGCAGAAGGUAAGAUUCGGGGAUAUAGGAGCUUGAUCGAGAGGGUGGAGCUUCUGCCCAAGUGUUAAGAAGUACGAAGGGUGAGGACCUUGCCUGCUCCUCUUGGGGACACCCACGGCAGGUGCUGGCUCACCUGCCACCAGGUAGGUCCAGCCAGGGUUCUUGAGAGGAUAAGUCACCUGCACACAACCCAAACUCCUUUCCAGCUCUCUGAGUUAAAACACUGGGUGUGUCCCAGGAGGAGCUGUUUAGAAAGCGUAAAGCGUAUUAUAUAAGAAAAUGUUUCUGGCGUUUCCAAGUCAUUAGCUGUGGACUCAGAUGAUGUGGGGCCACGAUCCAUCCGAGCUCCUGAGUACUUACUGUUUUCCCACCAGGUCAGGGCCCCCAGCUGGAUUUUAUUUCUGAUAGCUUUUCACUGAAGAGAAGAAUGCUUGAAAUGUGUUCCCUGAAAGCGAGAUGACUUAUGACGCCAUGGGUUAAAUGGUUCAGGGAAUGAAAAUCUCAAGUCUCUGUGCAGACAGAUAAAUCAAACUCAAAUUCCACAGGAAAUUCAUGACCUUCACCCAGACUAGAGAGGCCAGGAUGAGGGAGUCCAAGGCCUGUAUACUGACUGAACAGGGAAAAAAUCAUACCUCUCCCACCUUGCUGUAUCCCCCAGGCCAACAUCUUAAAGGGGAUCUUCUUUCUUUAUGUUUCACAGAUUGUGUUUGUUUGUUUUGUAUUUUUAGCCAUCCAAGAACAGCAGACACAGAAAGCACAGGCUUGCUUACACUAAUUCCCCUGAUAAAACCAAGUAUGUAAUUCCUGCACUUUCCCAUGCUGGCUGAUGCUAAAGACAUUCUAGUGGAAUCAGGUGGAGCUGGCACAUGCACCCUGGCUGCCAAUCAGACCAUGAAGCAAAUCGGCAUCUGCUUAUGCUGUAGCACCUGGGUGUUUCCUUUCUCUCCCGGAGGUCUCUGGAUUCCCAUGUUAGCUCCCUCCUGGAAGGGAGCCUUUGCGUGCAAAAUGAGCUGCCUCUGUUCUGUUUGGGUGUCAAUUACCAGCCACAACUCUGGAUAGCAGUUCCAAGAAAACAAGGGCCUCCACAUUCUGGUUUAUCACUGACAAGCCCACGGACAUCAGCUCAGAAACUACUGAACCAUAGUGUUUAUCUGUGACUGUCUUGUGUCCGACUUUGUACACAAAGGACUUCAGGAACCCCACUCUCACCCAGACCAAGUCAGGUGCCAAGAAGGGGAAUCCUCAUGUCCAGCAUCAACCCCUGCAUUUAUAAUCCACAACGGUCUGUUUGUCAACUGUCAUUUCCCUGAAUAAUUAUGAACCAGUCAUCAAGCAAACAAUGUAUCCAAUCCUCACAGGAACUUAUUAUGAUGUCUCCCCUCUAAUUCUGAUGAGGCCGUUGGGGAUCCAUUAGCCCUAGCAAUGUAUCAUUUAAGCAAACAGCUAAAAUGACAGAAUGACAGAUGUGGCAUUUCCGAACCUCAGGCACUCCCCUAGGUGCUGUGUACUCUAUGUUGCCUUAAAUAUUUUCCAAAAGUCAAACAAAAUAUAGAUAUAGAAAUGUAGUCCCUAUGCCCUAUCUUAGCACAAUGGAACUCAGCAAUCCUAACAUUCAGGGCUCCCUCUCUAGCAAGAUUGUCUUUUGUCUUCUGAUUAGGGGGAAAUAAAAGACAAGUCGGGAAACUUCUGCCAAAGUUCUCACGACUGGCCUUGCCUUUUAAAACAAAACCUAACUCUAAGCAGGUAUCCAAGAGCCAGAUAAGCAAGGCGUAGAGUAUGCAUGUAUGAAACAGAUAAGAGACCGCAUCCAAACUAUGGUGUGCAAGAGGGCCAUUUAGAGGUGCCGUCUAUCACAUCGCUCGUUGAAUGUGGGGAAGUAAGUUUACCCAAAAAACACCUCAUUUCAGGGCAAGAGUCAGCCCCAGGACACCCUCUUAUGAGUGCAAAGUAAGUAAUGGGUGCUGUUCCCAAGUCACUAAAAUGUCAGAUGCCACCUAGCAAAUUCUCUCUGGUGCACUAUAUCCUCUAGCAGGUGCCUCUACCUGGACAAACCAUUGUAAUUUAUAGGCCUUGGUUUCCCUAAGAGCUCAACAAAAAAAUGUGGAAGUUUAUCAAGCGGUGUUUGCAGGAGGACUGUAUGAGAUGACUCCUCUUGGGACCAGGCAAUGCUCAGUAACCAUUACUGAACCACAAGUAGUUUUACUCUCUGGGAUUAAAAAAAGCCCUUUUAUCUGUGUAAGGGUAGAACACUGGCCCACUCUCCCAGAUGCACAAUGAAAGCUCACUUACACAGCCAACACACUGGGAACUAAGAAAUGCUAUUCACAAUAAAAUUUUAGUUUUGACCUGGGUUGGAGGAAGCUUUCAGGAACUGGCCACAAAAAGAUUCACUCUCCUGAUAGGAUUCUCUACGACAGAGUAACAAAAGCUAUUAGUCCUUACCAGCCUCUAAAUUCAGGGGCCAGUAUAUAUGGGAAUGUUGCUAUCUUACCAGACAUCAGGUACAUAUUCAAAGAGAAACAUUUGAGAGCUAUUUCCCAACCCCUAGUGAGAAAGAGCCCGUAGUGUGCAUGGCUUAUUAUCAGCAAAUACUCUACCCUGGGGCUGAGCCCGCAGCUCAGGCUCCGAGAAUCAGAUAAAAACUAGAGUUCCUGUAUUGUUGAAUAUUCCAGAAAAGGAGUAUCUCCUUUCAAAAACAAGCCAAUACUAGUUUACUGAGGUUUUAACAUUCUCAACAAACAAAACAAGCAGAAAAGGCCAACAUAUGGGUCCGUCUCAGGCUGCCCCCUGCCCAGGCCAGGGGACUUCUCACUCUACUUAGAAGAGUGGGCUUUCUAUGGAGGUCAGUGCAGUCCCAGCAGCUACAGGACAGAUUCCACUGGGGUCAGCUAGGCCUUGUAAAGAAGCACAGUGACAUUUAUUGUCCAGCAGACACAGUGCUUCACAGGUGGGGAGGCUGCCUCUGCCUGUGCUCCCAGCAAAAAGCCCACAAGGCCUUCUGCAGAAUGACAGACAGCAAGGGAACUGUCUCCCCCAUCCAAUUUAAACCCUUUAAAAAACACAGAGGAGAACACGGGAAUUAGGCAGAAGGCAGAGUGGAGUCCUAAGGAAUGAGGAUGCCUGGUAGCACCUGUUUCUUCCUCCCAGAGAGCGUGCAAACCUCUGGGAGUUGGCAGUGUGGACACACAGGCGUCCCCGUGGGGAGGAUGCCUGCAUAUUUUUGGAGAGAUGAGUCAGCCCUCCUAGCUGCCAGCCAACCUUACAUGCUUAAGCUUUGUUGAAUUUGCAUAUUGCACUGUUUCCUAUCACCUCUCAGCUAUGAUGCAGAACCUUCUUCUUCUGAAGGAGUCUGGGGUUUCUCCUUUCCCAACCUGUACAACCAGAAGCUCCUUAUUUCUUUAUAGCCUGUCUUUAAGGGGCGGUGUGUUGUUUAUUAUUUUUUUUCCCAAGCCUGAAAGAUACGUUCUGUUCUACCAACAGCCCUGUCCCAGAAUCACAAGGGCUGCUGCUGAUCCAACAGGCGCAGGAAAGCAGAUAGACCUCUGAGUCUCUUGGGUCUCAGCUCUCCUGCAGCCAAGGCUUGAGGACCCUAAAGAAGGCACAGCAGGCCUCAGGAUCUGGGAAUCUGGCCAUUCUCCCCAGCUCUCCUGCCACUGGCUGCUGCCUGCAUUGCUAUACAGACUGCUGUGUCGCCAACAUCAAUGACACACCUGGCUGACAAGCUUCCACAGUUGUGAUCAUCCUCUGACCCCAAGGACCAAGGUAGUCACUUCCAGAGUAGACCUAGGAAAGUACAGAGUAGGCCCCUAGCAUCCCCUGGGAGAGGCCAUCAUCUCCUCUAAUCUUCCCCAUGACACACACCCAACACACUGAGACAACCCCUGCCCCCAUACACGCACACCCUGAGUAUCUAAGUCUAUAGUGCCCUAGCCUCUAACAGUACCCAGACAAGAGCUUUCUUAGCAGUAUUGCAGCCCUAGCCUCUGCCUCUUGUACCUGCCACCUGCCUCACCAACUCCUGAGUCCCAUUUCAAGACAAAGAUGGAUCUUCUCUAGACAAUUUCCAUCUAGCCAUCCUCCAUGAAACAAAUGUCUCCACUCCUUGCUGGUCCAAAUCCAGAUUGUUCUGCCUCUUAUACCUAAGACUCCAGCGUUAACAGCAUUCAUCAUUCCCUGCACAAUCCAUGACAAGAACCUUGGUGGUUCUACACAUGGCUGGGGAGGGGGGGUGAGCCCCUUCAUGGUCUUUCAGUCUCUGCCGAUCCUCUUUCAGCUUCCACCGAAUGGGUAAGCAUAGGGGUGGAUCUAAAGAAGAGUCACGGUGUGGCCUGUAAAAAGUGUCCACAGAGGGAGAGGACGGGGAAAUAAGACCCCAAGGAAGUGACUACGGGAAAAGUUAACACCCUGGGCUCAAAUCUCAGCACCAUCAUGAACAGGAAUGCCCUAGCAAUAUACCCUGCUCCUGCCUCUCUUUGCCUCUGAAUGAUGGAGAUCAAGUAAAGACUACAGGUAUCUAAUCUUCAAAGUACACAGCCAAUAUAUUCAGUUCCUGGUGCCUAAGCCUUCAGAAAUGACCCAGCAACACAGUGCAAGCCAUGGAGCAGUCUGUGUUACAUGCUUGCUGAAACCUAAGAGCUGACUCAGAAUCCCAUAUUCAGACACUAGGAAUGGGCUUGCACUGGGGAGCCCUGGGACACAGUAAUAAGUGUCCUGGCCCCUGCUAGCACACUACCAAAAAAAAAAAAAAAAAAAAAAAAAAAAAAAAAAAAAAAAAGAG